AGAGUUUGAUCAUGGCUCAGGACAAACGCUGGCGGCGUGCGUAACACAUGCAAGUCGAGCGGAGGGAGACUUCGGUGUCCCUCAGCGGCGGACGGGUGAGGAACACGUGAGUGACCGACCCUGGAGUGGGGGAUACCCGGCGGAAACGCGGGUUAAUCCCGCAUAGGUUCGUCUGUUCAAGCAGACGAGCAAAGCAGCAA
rnacentral:rRNA from 1 species